CAAGUCUGUGUGUGGAGGGAAAGCCAAACGGUGGAAAAUUACUCGGGGAGAAACCACUGUCUCUGGACACAGAGACCUGCUGUUAGAUGAGGCGGCUUCCUGAUGGCAGAGGAAGGGGCUGAAGGAGAUGCCCUCCAAAGCGGUGUAAAGCAAGCCUGUUUUGUGCACACAGAUUGUCAAGAGGGAAGGAAAUUCUACAUCAACUGUGCUGGGCCUCAGUGAGGAGACAGGAGAACACUGAGGACAGCCAAAUCCCACCUGUAGCAAGGAUGGUGGCAGAGGCUAGUGAUCAGAGAUGUUCUGGGCAACUGUCCAGUGACCAGCCCAUUAUGAGAAGGGACCAUGUCUUGCCUUGCCUGCCUCACAGGGUUUUGGGGAGGGAGAGUCUGAAAAGCCACCUGCAAAUAUAAUCCCUCAUCCUCA